AUUGAACGCUGGCGGAAUGCUUUACACAUGCAAGUCGAACGGCAGCACGGACUUCGGUCUGGUGGCGAGUGGCGAACGGGUGAGUAAUGUAUCGGAACGUGCACAGUCGUGGGGGAUAACGUAGUGAAAAUUACGCUAAUAACGCAUACGAUCUAUGGAUGAAAGCGGGGGAUCGCAAGACCUCGCGCGAUUGGAGCGGCCGAUAUCAGAUUAGGUAGUUGGUGGGGUAAAGGCCCACCAAGCCAACGAUCUGUAGCUGGUCUGAGAGGACGACCAGCCACACUGGAACUGAGACACGGUCCAGACUCCUACGGGAGGCAGCAGUGGGGAAUUUUGGACAAUGAGCGAAAGCCUGAUCCAGCCAUUCCGCGUGCAGGAUGAAGGCCCUCGGGUUGUAAACUGCUUUUGUACAGAACGAAAAGGUUUCUACUAAUACUAGGAGCUCAUGACGGUACUGUAAGAAUAAGCACCGGCUAACUACGCGCCAGCCGCCGCAGUAA
rnacentral:rRNA from 1 species